rnacentral:rRNA from 1 species
GACGAACCGUGGCGAACGUUGUUCGGAUUCACUGGGCUUAAAGGGCGCGAUAGGCGGCUUGCCUAAGUCAGGGGUGAAAUCUUUCGGCACAACCCGGGAAAAGUGCUUCUGAUACUGGCGGGCUGGAGGAGGGUAGGGCAGAUGGAACUUCCGGUGGAGCGGUGAAAUGCGUAGAUAUCGGAAGGAACGCCGGUGGCGAAAGCGAUCUGCUCGGACCCGUUUCUGACGCGUGAGGCGCGAAAGCCAGGGGAGCAAACGGG